rnacentral:rRNA from 1 species
UACGAAGGGGGCUAGCGUUGCUCGGAAUCACUGGGCGUAAAGGGUGCGUAGGCGGGUCUUUAAGUCAGGGGUGAAAUCCUGGAGCUCAACUCCAGAACUGCCUUUGAUACUGAGGAUCUUGAGUUCGGAGAGGUGAGUGGAACUGCGAGUGUAGAGGUGAAAUUCGUAGAUAUUCGCAAGAACACCAGUGGCGAAGGCGGAUCUCUGGCCAUUACUGACGCUGAGGAGCGAAA